rnacentral:rRNA from 1 species
GACGAACGCUGGCGGCGUGCUUAACACAUGCAAGUCGAACGGUAAGGCCCUUCGGGGUACACGAGUGGCUAACGGGUGAGUAACACGUGGGUGAUCUGCCCUGCACUUCGGGAUAAGCCUGGGAAACUGGGUCUAAUACCGGAUAGGACCACUGCCUGCAUGGGUGGUGGUGGAAAGCUUUUGCGGUGUGGGAUGGGCCCGCGGCCUAUCAGCUUGUUGGUGGGGUGAUGGCCUACCAAGGCGACGACGGGGAGCCGGCCUGAGAGGGUGACCGGCCACACUGGGACUGAGAUACGGCCCAGACUCCUACGGGAGGCAGCAGUGGGGAAUAUUGCACAAUGGGCGCAAGCCUGAUGCAGCGACGCCGCGUGAGGGAUGACGGCCUUCGGGUUGUAAACCUCUUUCAGCACCGACGAAGCGCAAGUGACGGUAGGUGCAGAAGAAGGACCGGCCAACUACGUGCCAGCCGCCGCGGUAA